rnacentral:rRNA from 1 species
UACGAAGGGUGCUAGCGUUGUUCGGAAUUACUGGGCGUAAAGCGCGCGUAGGCGGUUAUACAAGUCAGGGGUGAAAUCCUUGGGCUCAACCCAAGAAUUGCCCUUGAAACUGUAUAACUAGAGUGUCGGAGGGGAUAGCGGCAUUCCUAAUGUAGAGGUGAAAUUCGUAGAUAUUAGGAGGAACACCGGUGGCGAAGGCGGCUAUCUGGACGACAACUGACGCUGAGGCGCGAAAGCACGGGGAUCAAACAGG